rnacentral:lncRNA from 1 species
GAAGUCCAAGGUGAUGAAAAACUAAAGGCUAUAGUGCAGGCCUUGUUAGCAGAUCCUAGUAGCCAAACUGGUUUUCAGCUAAAAGGUGGUAGGUUGUAUCAUGAAGGCAGAAUAGUGGUUCCAAAGCAAUCACCUAGAAUUGCUUGGUUCUUACAUGAGUUCCAUGAUACUGCUGUGGGAGGACACUCAGGAUACCUAAGGACUUACAAAAAAUUGCUAGUGUGGUGUAUUGGGAGGGUAUGAGAAAGAGGAUACAUGAGCAUGUGCAAGCUUGUGAAGUGUGUCAAAGGAAUAAGUAUCAAACCUUGAGUCCUGGAGGAUUGUUACAACCUUUGCCUAUACCAACACAGACAUGGAGUGACAUUUCCAUGGACUUCAUAGGAGGGUUAAGUGUGUCAAAGGAAUAAGUAUCAAACCUUGAGUCCUGGAGGAUUGUUACAACCUUUGCCUAUACCAACACAGACAUGGAGUGACAUUUCCAUGGACUUCAUA